rnacentral:rRNA from 1 species
AGGAUUAACGCUGGCGGCGUGCAUGAAACAUGCAAGUCGAGCGCGGUGUGAUGCGGGGUAACCCAAUUCACAUCUAGCGGCGAACGGGUGAGUAACACGUGAGCAACCUACCUUUGAGUUGGGGAUAGCCCUGGGAAACCAGGAUUAAUACCCGAUGUGGUCACAACAGGACAUCCUGAUGUGAGUAAAGGCGUAAGCCGCUCAAUGACGGGCUCGCGGCCUAUUAGCUUGUUGGUGGGGUAACGGCCUACCAAGGCGAUGAUGGGUAGCUGGUCUGAGAGGACGAUCAGCCACACUGGGACUGAGACACGGCCCAGACUCCUACGGGAGGCAGCAGUUAGGAAUUUUCCGCAAUGGGCGAAAGCCUGACGGAGCAACGCCGCGUGAGUGAUGAAGACCUUCGGGUUGUAAAGCUCUGUCGGAGGGGAAGAACACAAUGACGGUACCCUCCAAGAAAGCCCGGCUAACUACGUGCCAGCAGCCGC